UCUGUGGCUUUUUUCAAAGCCAUUAAAACUCCCAACCUGAUCAUGU
rfam:Acanthisitta chloris contig36065, whole genome shotgun sequence.